rnacentral:rRNA from 1 species
UACGUAGGUGGCAAGCGUUGUCCGGAUUUACUGGGCGUAAAGAGCGCGCAGGCGGUCGUUCAAGUCGCGUGUGAAAGCCCCCGGCUCAACUGGGGAGGGUCACGCGAUACUGAUCGACUCGAAGGCAGGAGAGGGUAGUGGAAAUUCCCGGUGUAGUGGUGAAAUGCGUAGAUAUCGGGAGGAACACCAGUGGCGAAGGCGACUACCUGGCCUGUUUCUUGACGCUGAGGCGCGAAAGCUAGGGGAGCAAACGGG